rnacentral:rRNA from 1 species
GUAAAUAAUAAAGGGCGUAUGGUGGAUGCCUAGGCUCUCAGAGGCGAUGAAGGACGUGAUAAGCUGCGAAAAGCUCCGUUUAGGUGCAAAUAACCUUUGAUGCGGAGAUCUCCGAAUGGGAUAACCCAAUAUGUUGAAGACAUAUUAUACCGUAAGGUAGGCAAACGCAGGGAACUGAAACAUCUAAGUACCUGCAGGAGAAGAAAACAAACGUGAUUCCCCCAGUAGCGGCGAGCGACCGGGGAUAAGCCCAAACCGUUAUUGUUUCGGCAGUAGCGGGGUAGUAGGACUGCGACAUUGAUGAAAUAAAUGAAAUGGAACACCUUGGAAAAUGUGAUCACAGAGGGUGAUAAUCCCGUACAUGUAAGUUUAUGAAUCAUAGCAGACUCCUGAGUAAGUCGGGACACGUGUAAUCCUGACCGAAUCCGCCGGGACCAUCCGGCAAGGCUAAAUACUCCUGAGAGACCGAUAGUGAACCAGUACCGUGAGGGAAAGGUGAAAAGCACUUCGAACAGAAGAGUGAAAUAGUCCCUGAACCCAUACGCCUACAAGCAGUCGGAGCCGCUUCGUGCGGUGACGGCGUGCCUUUUGCAUAAUGAGCCUACGAGUUACUCAUCACCAGCGAGGUUAAGUACUUCAGGUACGUAAGCCGAAGCGAAAGCGAGUCUGAAUAGGGCGUCAAGUUGGUGGUGGUAGACGCGAAACCUUAGUGAUCUACCCAUGGGCAGGGUGAAGGUUUGGUAACACAAACUGGAGGCCCGAACCGGUAAACGUUGAAAAGUUUUCGGAUGACCUGUGGGUAGGGGUGAAAGGCCAAUCAAACUGGGAAAUAGCUCGUACUCUCCGAAAUGCAUUUAGGUGCAGCCUCUGUUGUUUUGUUCUAGAGGUAGAGCUACUGAUUGGAUGCGAGGGCUUCACCGCCUAUCAAAUCCGGCCAAACUCCGAAUGCUAGAACAUGAAGACAGGGAGUGAGCCAGCGGGUGCUAAGGUCCGUUGACGAAAGAGGGAGAACUCAGACCAUCAGCUAAGGUCCCCAAUUAUAUGCUAAGUUGGAAUAAAAACGGGGUGGGACUGCUUAGACAGCUAGGAUGUUGGCUUGGAAGCAGCCAUUCAUUUAAAGAGUGCGUAACAGCUCACUAGUCGAGCGGUCCUGCAUGGAUAAUACGCGGGCAUAAGCAUAUAACCGAAGCUAUGGGAUUGUAGAUGAUACAAUCGGUAGGAGAGCAUUCCAUUCAGCAUAGAAGCAGUACCGUGAGGUAUUGUGGAGCGGAUGGAAAAGCAAAUGUAGGCAUAAGUAACGAUAAUGCGGGUGAGAACCCCGCACGCCGAAAGAUCAAGGAUUCCCCGGCAAUGUCAAUCAUCCGGGGGUAAGUCGGAUCCUAAGGGUAAGCCGAGUGGCGAUCCCGAUGGCAAACAGGUUAAUAUUCCUGUACUGAUCAUAACUGCGAUGCAGCGACGCAGAGGUGACACUGCUGCGUACUGACGGAAUAGUACGUUGAAACCCGUAUUCUUUGAUACCGGUAGUGAAGCACGCCGGUAGAGAUGAAAGGUGAUAGUACCGCAAUGCUUCGGUUGCGCGGAUAAUGCAGGUAAGCUGACUGCCAAGAAAACCUGCUAAGCUUCAGGUAAUGAUCAUCCGUACUGUAAACGGACACACGUGAUCAGGUAGAAAAUACUAAGGCGCUCGAGAGAUUCAUGGUUAAGGAACUAGGCAAAAUGGUCCUGUAACUUCGGGAUAAAGGACGCUCUUGUGAAAGAGCCGCAGAUAAUAGGCCCAGGCGACUGUUUACCAAAAACACAUGGCUAUGCUAAUUCGCAAGAAGAUGUAUAUGGCCUGACACCUGCCCGGUGCCGGAAGGUUAAGAGGAGAGCUCAGAGGUAACUCGAAGGUUUGAAUUGAAGCCCCGGUAAACGGCGGCCGUAACUAUAACGGUCCUAAGGUAGCGAAAUUCCUUGUCGGGU